rnacentral:rRNA from 1 species
GACGAAGGGGGCAAGCGUUGUUCGGAAUUACUGGGCGUAAAGGGCGCGUAGGCGGCCGCUUUAGUCAGGUGUGAAAGCCCUGGGCUCAACCUGGGAAUUGCACUUGAUACUGGGUGGCUGGAGAGCGGGAGAGGAUGGUGGAAUUCCCAGUGUAGAGGUGAAAUUCGUAGAUAUUGGGAAGAACACCAGUGGCGAAGGCGGCUAUCUGGACCGGUAUUGACGCUGAGGCGCGAAAGCGUGGGGAGCAAACGGG